GUCCAGGUGGUGCAACAAGUCAGCGCAUCUGGCUGUUAACCAGAAGGUUGGUGGUUUGAGUCCACCUAGGAAAAGCUUUGGGCA